GUGAGGAAUAUUGGUCAAUGGGCGGGAGCCUGAACCAGCCAAGUCGCGUGAAGGAAGACGGUUCUAUGAAUUGUAAACUUCUUUUGUGCAGGAAUAAAGUGGGUUACGUGUAACCUUUUGUAUGUACUGUACGAAUAAGGAUCGGCUAACUCCGUGCCAGCAGCCGCGGUAAUACGGAGGAUCCGAGCGUUAUCCGGAUUUAUUGGGUUUAAAGGGUGCGUAGGUGGAUUGAUAAGUCAGCGGUGAAAGUUUGCAGCUUAACUGUAAAAUUGCCGUUGAAACUGUCGGUCUUGAGUGCAAAUGAGGUAGGCGGAAUGUGUUGUGUAGCGGUGAAAUGCUUAGAUAUAACACAGAACUCCGAUUGCGAAGGCAGCUUACUGGGAUGCAACUGACACUGAUGCACGAAAGCGUGGGUAUCAAACAGGAUUAGAAACCCUGGUAGUCC
rnacentral:rRNA from 1 species